UCAACCCCUUUCUCUGAAGCUCACAUGAACGCACCGAGAGUCCCCAUUGUUCCACGCUCGCCCGGCCACCAUCAACAGUGGGUUUGACUCCGAUCGCCCUAAAAUCUCGCGUAUUUCUUCUUCUAAUCUAGAUAUGGUCCCUAAAAGCUUAGAAGCAAACCUUAAUUCCCUUUUUUCUCUUUCAAUGGACACUCUUAAAAUCCUAUCAAUGCCGAAAAUUAACCCUUCAACCCCAACUUCGACCACCACAACAACCUCCUCUGUCCAUCGUCCACCGUAACCUAACCGCGAAACUCAUUCCUCAACCACUUCAAAACCUAUCGAUCGAACCCAAAACCGAGCCUACAUGCAAAACAUAAUAUGGUUCGAAGGGACCUCGACUCUACUCUUUCCGAUGACCUCAAGAGACCUCGACUCCGACAAUGGACAUCCACAUUUAAGGUCACAUGGGUUCUGUUUGUAAAUUCUCUCUCGAUUUCCUCUACCUCAGAUGACCCCGGACGAACAAUCUUUAUUCCAGACGACAAGACUCGACUCCCCUACCCCAAUGGAGACCCGAUGCAGAACUAGAACCCGACGGUGAUGAAACAAAGUCAACGAGACUCCCUACUUUCGCAUAAUCCAAGUGAAUUCCUAAUCCCUCUCUAUUUUCAGUUGAAUAAUAAUAGCAUAAAAAAACAGAUUG